GCCCCGGUAGCUCAAUCGGAUAGAGUAGCUGGCUUCGAACCAGUUGGUUGCAGGUUCGAGUCCUGCCCGGGGCG
rnacentral:tRNA from 1 species